AUUAAAGCAAAACUGAGUAUAUACAUGAGUUUCAUGUGGUUUAAGCUCUUUACAGUGUAUUGGCAAUUAACUUCAAAGCAUGAAGUUGACUAUCGUUUGGGCUUGUUUAAUUUGUAAUUUAUAAAUAUUGAAAUGUGAGUAUAUACUUGAAUUUGAGAUUUGCUGUGCUAAUUGAGAGGAUUGGAUUGGGAAGAUCAAAGGUAUUUGUCAAAAACAGACAAUUGUUAGUUAUGGGUGAAGUUAACUUGGUGGUGGUUUUGCGUGUGAAAAAUGGUUGCAGAUAUGCUUGCUUUG
rnacentral:misc_RNA from 1 species